CCCUUAGAUGUUCUGGGCCGCACGCGUGCUACACUGAGUGGAUCAGCGGGUCAGGUUGCGCGAAAGCGUUUCCUAAUCUUUAAAUCCGCUCGUGAUGGGGAUUGACGGUUGCAAUUUUCUGUCAUGAACGAGGAAUACCUUGUAAGCGCGGGUCAUCAUCCCGCGCUGAAUACGUCCCUGCCCUUUGUACACACCGCCCGUCGCUCCUACCGAUUGAGUGGUCCGGUGAGGCUUUGGGAUCUGAGCGGAAAGAGCGUUUCGCUGUUUCGGCUCGGAAAACUCAGUCGAACCUUAUCAUUUAGAGGAAGGAGAAGUCGUAACA
rnacentral:rRNA from 1 species